CCAGUGUUCUCUUUUGCCAGCCAGGGCUGUUUUGGAAGGAACCCUAAACUGAAUUCUGAAAUCAAAUAACAUUUUCUACUUGAAAUGCAGCAUAAUUGCUAUCAGUAUAUGCAGGAGUAACAGAAAACAGGCAAAUAUAAUCAUUUUGGGCCCUCAAAGUCAGGUAGUAAUAGGUAAAGAAAUAACAGCUUCUAUCUUCUCUCUCCUGUGAUUGCUUUUAAUCUCAAAUAUAAUUGCUUUCUCCCCAAAUUUCUCACAAUGUUACAUUACAAGCAUGAAUUUAGUUCUAUUUUUAUAAGCCAUAUUAUUCUGUUGAGAUCAUGACAGAAACAUGUCCUGGCCUCACACUAUAACAAAUGAAUACCAUCAUAACAGAAGAGCCAGUGCGUCAUUUUCAGCCACAGUGGUUAGUAGAGUCUCACCCUGGCAGGAAAGGAAAGACAAAACUUUUGGUGAAGUCACCAGCUUCCCUAACUUCUUCAUGGACUUUAAACAGUCAGACACCACAGUGACGGGUCUAAAAUACCUGUCCUCUGGUUGGCAUGACAAAGGCUACUGCCUAAUGGCAAAGAGCUCUCUAUGAUGUCCACAUCGAGUAAUUUGGUGCAAUAGAAGGAAGAGUCGAACAGUUCUGAGGCCUGUACAUCUACAUGAUGUGCAGACCAGGGGUUUUACUGUGCAGCAGUUUGGAGUUGGACUGCCAAACCCCCACAGUCAUCAUGACCACACAUGAUGAUUUGAAACUCUGAGGCUGUGUUUAGGUUAGCAGAUUGUGUGCUGCAAGAAGAUUAGGCCUGCAGAGGGAGGUAGCUGGUGCUGAGGACCACAGUCUGUGUGUUUCAGAGAGUGUAUUUCAAAUUCGAUCUCAUCUGAUCUUAUACACUGAAUGCCCAUUAAUAGCUGCAGUGCCCUAGGUGAAACUGAGGUACAUUCUCUAGUUUAGUUUCACCUACAAGGAAUCCAAUUUAGUCUCUCUGAGACUCCUCUGUAGUGCAAUCAAAGAGUGGGGCAGCCAGAAGAUCUGCUUCAAACACACACUUGUGAUGGAACUGACUCACUGCAAUGUCAUCGUGCUCUGGAGCAGCAAGAACUGUUACAAGUGUCCCCAUCAGGGCUGAAGCGAAACUGGUGGCCAUAUAGGGCACCACCAUCAGGUUAGACAUCCCAGAAAGGAAACCGAGGUAGUGUAAACACUGUUCUGUCAACUGCACCAGUGUGCAGUAAUUGAAAUGCCUCAAAACACAGCACUAAUACAGAUGCAGUUGUAGUCUGGAUUUUGUGGCAGAACAUUCAAUUCUUCUUGGCAUCUAAAAUGGAACUGAAGCAGACAAAGCCUCUGUACUGGGACUUGGGAGGCAAGGAUGAGAAGGAUUUCUGAAGAUGAGUUUGAAAAUUAAUCUGUGUCCAGACAUGACAAGCCAGUGCCUUGACACUAAAUGCCCUAGGCAUUUAAUGAGAUCAUACACCAUGAAUUUUUCCCUCUGUACAAUAACUGGAAGUAGAAGAACUUCCUGGGUUUCGGAGCCCCUUCUACCCUGAAAGAACAGGGUCAGUGCCUCCUGGUGGGAGAAGGUCACAGGUGU
rnacentral:lncRNA from 1 species